GAUGAACGCUGGCGGCGUGCCUAAUUCAUGCAAGUCGAGCGAACGGACGAGAAGCUUGCUUCUCUGAUGUUAGCGGCGGACGGGUGAGUAACACGUGGAUAACCUACCUAUAAGACUGGGAUAACUUCGGGAAACCGUAGCUAAUACCGGAUAAUAUUUUGAACCGCAUGGUUCAAAAGUGAAAGACGGUCUUGCUGUCACUUAUAGAUGGAUCCGCGCUGCAUUAGCUAGUUGGUAAGGUAACGGCUUACCAAGGCAACGAUGCAUAGCCGACCUGAGAGGGUGAUCGGCCACACUGGAACUGAGACACGGUCCAGACUCCUACGGGAGGCAGCAGUAGGGAAUCUUCCGCAAUGGGCGAAAGCCUGACGGAGCAACUCCGCGUGAGUGAUGAAGGUCUUCGGAUCGUUAAACUCUGUUAUUAGGGAAGAACAUAUGUGUAAGUAACUGUGCACAUCUUGACGGUACCUAAUCAGAAAGCCACGGCUAACUACGUG
rnacentral:rRNA from 1 species